GUGGAGUGUGUGUUUAUCUUUAAGUGUUCUGAGGACUGGCAAACAUCCCAGCUGAGCCAGAUAUGCGCUCCUGUGUUAGUAACAUAUAAAUGUGCUGUAAGAGACAAUAAAGAGAUCUUUUUGCUGUUUCUUCGGAACCAUCUUGUUGUCAUCCUGGGUGCCUCUUUCAUCGCUGCAUUUUUGGUGCCCCGCGUGAGGUUCCAGGGGAGUGCAGAAAGCUCAGAGGAACUUUCCGACGACCCGCAACCCAACAGAGGGUAUGUGUGUGUUCUUCUACCAGCAGGACCCAGGUGGCUGCCCACUUAUCACGUCAAACCCUAUCAUGAGCUGGCAAAACCACUCAGACAACCCAAUCCCACAGAUGAAGACUCUGAAUUUGAAAGAGGAGAAACGAAUGAGGAGGAAGCGGUGCAUAGAGAAUGAAAAAGCUAUCACGUAGGGACAUUUGAAGAGAAUGCAACAAUAAGCUAGCGUGAUG